rnacentral:tRNA from 1 species
GCACCAGUAGUUCAGCGGCAGAAUGCAAGCUUCCCAAGCUUGAUAUGCGGGUUCGACCCCCGUCUGGUGCU